GUGAAUUAAGCGGUCUGUGUUGAGCGACAUGAAUUCCUUUACCGCGUGGCGUUCCAAAGGCGAUUCUCACCCGGGUGUUGCCUGUGCUGUGGCUCUCCUCUAUGCCCAAGAAACAGGUCUGCAUCCAGGCUUGGUGGGAAUUUCCACUACAGAAAGAGAAUCAAAUACCCCAGCCACUAUGCCAUGAAAUGCAACCUCUGGCUUCGCAACCUCUGUGAGUUGCUGAAUUCUUCCUUCCAAGUUGCUCGCCAACUACCAGACUCUCUGCGCAAGAUCAGCCAUCGCCAUUGUUCUCGUCUCUGAAAAUUGUUCUGUCAAUGAAAUGAUCUACCAUGAAGGACAUCUGUGGAAACACAGUCUGUGACGAGAGCCCAUGAAUAAUUUCCACGUGCUCCUGCCAGUCUUUUAAGCUGCGCGUCCUUGAGUCACAGAGACAUGGCUGGGCAGCUGAAAGUGUCACCGAGUAUUCCGUGGACACCACAGUUCACUCAAGUGUUAACUGCUCACAAGGAUACACAGCCAGCCUCCCCCAAACAUGAGGCGAUCCAACUGUGUUCUUCCCAUGAGAAGCCAAAGGCAUCUCUCCCCAAGCACAAAGUAGUAAAGAGCCCUGGAUGCCUGGUUCCUAUUCCUGGGAGCGUAUGCAAUUACUCUGUCACCCUGGUGGCCAACGCUGACUGUCCUAUCAGCAUGACUCCUGAUUAUCAGCUCCCCAUCUGCAUGAAAGUAAAAGCCAGCUCAUCCUAUUCACCGGCUCCGAAUCCUCCACUGGCUUCCCCUUUCACUAGAAUAAAACCCUAAAUCUUUACAAUGACCUGACAACAUAAUUCUCCCCCGUUCCCUCCGCCGAAACUGCUGUUAUUUUGCCGGCUUUGUGCAUUACUCAUCCUCUCUAGACCAGUUUGCUAGGGCUGCCGUAACAAAAUACUCCAGAAUGGGUGACGGAAACAACAGAAACUUAUUUUCCCACAGUCAUGGACGCUCACAGUGUCACCGGAUUUAGUUUCUUCCGAAAUGUCUCUCCUUAGCUUGAACGUGGCCAUCUUUUCACUGUGUCCUCACAUGGUCUUUCCUCUGGUGUCUCUCUGUGUCCAAAUAUCCUCUUUUAAUAAGGACACCAGUCAGACAGGAUUAGGGCUCACGCCUUCAUUUUAAUGUAGUCAUCUCUUUAAAAGGAUCUAUCUUCAAACACAGGGGUUAAGACUCCAGCACAUGAAAUCGGAGGGGACAGGAUUCAGCCCAUGGCACCCUCGAUCAUUCUGCUGCAGCCAACCUGACUUUCCGAAAGUUAUUCAAACAUACCCCUUGCCUUUACGCCAUCUAUUCCUUACCUCUCACACACUGCAAAUCCAAUAAAGUCUGCCCCGCUCUUUAAGGAUGCGCCUGC
rnacentral:lncRNA from 1 species